UUUUUAUCGUCUGCUUACUAGUUUGUAAUAAUUUCCGAAUAAUUUACAUAAUUUAAAAGAAAUUCUGUUUAGAAACAAUACAAACCGGGAACCCAAUCAGCACUUACGAUUUUUUCCGGUUUCGUUAAUAUGUCCUACUUUUCUUAAAUAGCCCAAAAUUGUACGUGAUCGGAUCGGUCGAACAAACCCCGGACCGGUUUUGACCCGGAAAAAUAUGUCCGAUGUACAGAUAUAGCGUUAAACCAUGGAUUAUUCCAAAUCCAAUCAUCUUUGAUUCUACGAAUUCGGAAUUAGAUGACUUAACAUUACCAUCAAAUAUAAAAAUUUUCGGUUCGACCCGGGUUUCAUAUUUUUAGGCAAGGCCCGGCUUUUAAAAAAAAUUUUCGGACCCGGCCCGGAUAUUUUUUAAAAAUAUAUUUUAUUUAUUUUUGAUUUUUAUAGCUAUAAUAAUGGCGAUUUUAAAUAUUUGAAAUAAUAUGUAUUAUAAUAUAAAAUAGUUAA